CCGUAACCACUUUAUUUUGUUUAAAUUUAGAUAAUAAGUUAUUGAUUGACAUGACGUUGCUGGCGCCAUCACUACUUCGAACCUAAAGUAUCAACACGAGCGGCUGAUCUCAUGAAACCUCAAUGAAAACGGGGUCGGGGCCCUUCGCUACGGUUGCUACCACAACAAGGAGGAGGAGGCCGACGCCUACAGCAGCCCGAAGCUUAACUCACUUGCGCUCGAUUAUGACGGAUGUUUAACAGCGGCAAUCGAGAAUCUUUUGUGGUGGGUGUACUGUUCCAGAAAUCUACCCGCCGAAGGAGUCCCCGAGUCGCUUGAUACAUGCAAAGGCGAACGACACAGAUAGACAAUUUGGAAAUUGGAAAGGAAGUAUCGUUGGCGAAACCGUGUCAUCAUUACUAAGCAACGUGACAAAUAUUUAAGUGAAGCUUCAGUCCACACCAACGAAAACCGACAUCGCGUGAAUGUUAAGGAAUACCUUCAUCUGAUGCUUCUGAAGUAUGAUACACUGGACAUUGCGCAAUGACUCGGGUGUUCGGUGUUGGUCCGGGUACAUUUCUGCUCACCUUCAUAUGGGCGGUGUCUACUGUCGUUACGUUCUUUUUUGUAAAGUCGCGCGGAAAUUAGUACUGUUCCUGGCUUGGCCUGUUACGUGCUAUCGCUAGCAAGCACUAGCGUCUUAGUGUCGCUUCGUAAGACCCGAAAAGGCUCGUCGAUUCGUGGGUAUGACGAAGACCUCGGCUAUGAUCGGAUGUUCAUCCCGAGAGUGUUGCUACUUGCAUUUGUCAUAGUGUCAACCAUCGUCGGCCUGGUCGGACUGUACGCCACCUGGUGGAUACUCCCGCAAGUGACAACAGCCUCAAAACCCACUAUGAAAAGUUCCAAGCAGACGGAAAAUAACAGGGCAGAUACUGGCCGACGUGUACUCACAUGGGCGACAAUUAGCAAGCUGGAUGACAAACAAGGCCAAUCGCGAACAAGAACAGACAAUUUUGUCAGUAGGAAUGAUGAAAUCGAUCGUUUGCGCAAACGAUACUGAACGUGGACACGAGACUGAAGCUUCUUUCUUCACAGAUUCUAUGUUUUUGUCAAAAACGCACAAUGUCUGUAGGCAUCAUUUUCAAAUAUGCGAAUUACCCUGACACAGAGCUUUUAUUGCUUGAUUCUUUUCAUACAUCUAAUCCCGAAGUGGGCAUUUCAUGCACAGAGUAAACGUGGUCCAUUGUGAGCUAGCCAUCGUGAAACUCUAAAGAAACCAACAGAAUCUCGCUUCGACAAUAAUAAAAUAAGCGGAGCUUAACGCGGUCGUCAGGUGAUAGAGAUGUACGUUUCAUCGAUAGUUUGAUACAACGUCCAGCACCGAUUAUUGACAUACACAUCAUAGCCUUGUGGAAGAUCAUUCACGUAUCAUUCUGUUACUAUCAAUAUUGCCUAAACGUUUCCUUUAGUUCUUCA